CUACGUAGGGGGCGAGCGUUAUCCGGAAUUAUUGGGCGUAAAGAGUGCGUAGGCGGUUCUUUAAGCGUGGGGUGAAGGGCAUUGGCUCAACCAAUGUAAGCCCCGCGAACUGGAGGGCUUGAGUGCAGGAGAGGAAAGCGGAAUUCCUAGUGUAGCGGUGAAAUGCGUAGAUAUUAGGAGGAACACCAGUGGCGAAGGCGGCUUUCUGGACUGUAACUGACGCUGAGGCACGAAAGCGUGGGUAGCGAACAGGAUUAGAUACCCUGGUAGUCCACGCUGUAAACGAUGAGCACUAGGUGUCGGGGUCGCAAGGCUUCGGUGCCGCAGUUAACGCAUUAAGUGCUCCGCCUGGGGAGUACGCACGCAAGUGUGAA
rnacentral:rRNA from 1 species